GACGAACCGUGCGAACGUUGUUCGGAUUCACUGGGCUUAAAGGGCGCGUAGGCGGGUCGGUCCGUCUGGGGUGAAAUCCUCUCGCUUAACGAGAGAACGGCCCUGGAUACCACCGAUCUCGAGGGAGGUAGGGGCAUGUGGAACUUCCGGUGGAGCGGUGAAAUGCGUAGAUAUCGGAAGGAACGCCGGUGGCGAAAGCGACGUGCUGGACCUUUUCUGACGCUGAGGCGCGACAGCCAGGGGAGCAAACGGG
rnacentral:rRNA from 1 species